rnacentral:rRNA from 1 species
CAAUAGCGUAUAUUAAAGUUGUUGCAGUUAAAAAGCUCGUAGUUGGAUUUCUGGUUGAAGCGACCGGUCGGGUGUUGAUUCGUCUGCACUGGAGUCGGUUUUGGCCAUCCUCUAGGAAAGUGCGUCUGGUAUUAAGUUAUCGGGCGUAUGAUCCUGGUCUUUUACUGUGAAAAAAUUAGAGUGUUUAAAGCAGGCCUUCGCCUUGAAUACAUUAGCAUGGAAUAAUAAGAUAGGACUUUGGUCUAUUUUGUUGGUUUGCAGACCGAAGUAAUGAUUAAUAGGGAUAGUUGGGGGUAUUUAUAUUCCGAUGUCAGAGGUGAAAUUCUUAGAUUUUCGGAAGAUAAACUUAUGCGAAAGCAUUUACCAAGGAUGUUUNCAUUAA